GAAAAACAAAAUACUUGAGUGGACCUACGAAUCUAAUUUACUGGUAUAUAUCACUUUCAAACGGAACAUGGUAAGAAAAGAAGAAAAAGGUUGGGGCAAAAAAAUAUUAAAAUAAAAACAUUACAAGGAAGCUUACUAUGUGGAUCCCAUUACCAUUCAUGAUUUUUUUCUUCAUUUAUAUCGGCUCACCAUGCUCUGCCCCUCUCACACUUGUCUUGAUUUGGCUUCUCUCUCUUUUCUUCAUUUAUAACACUGUCUGUCUGUCAAGUGAUUAGUCGAUCAGGUGAGGAAUCUUAAUUUCUUCCGGAAUUACAGCUCUUCUACAUGUAGGAUUACGCACAUUUAGGGAUGAUGAUGGACUUGCGAGAGGCGAUGAUAUCUCCAAAGAAUUGAUAAAGGCAAUUGAAGAGUUGAGGAUUUCAAUAAUUGUCUUCUCAAAAGACUAUGCAUCUUCAACAUGGUGCCUUGAUGAACUUCUAAAAAUUCUUGAACGCAAGAAGAGUGUUGGUCAUAUGAUUGUGCCCGUGUUCUACCAUGUGGAUCCAUCCCAUGUUAGAAAGCAAAAUGAAAGUUUUGCAAAAGCAUUUGUAAAACAUGAAGAAAACUUUAUGUCCGAGUCCGACGAAAGAAAAGAGCAGGGAAUGAACAAGAUAAAGAAGUGGAAGGAAGCUUUGACAGAAGUUGCAAAUUUGGCCGGGCAUGUUUUAGGAGAUGGAAACUUUUCUACAUUGCCUGGAAGAUCAGAAAUUGCUAAGAAUACAAGGGGAAUUGCACAUCAUAUGUUAACAAUACGGUAUAAAGCAAUGAGGACUUCAAGGCUACAUAUCUAUAUAAUUUCCUAAACUUAAUUUGUGUGCAAUUUCUUAUGCAUUUUUAUAUUGAUUCAUUUAAAAAAAAAAUUGAUUAGGAGUGAUUCUCUUUUUUAACAAACUUGCUUAGCUAUUUAAAAGGCCCGAGAUCCAAAACCCAAAAUGACCCAAUAAAUUAAUAGGCUGGAAUUUAGUUGUUGAUAUUGGUCUGGAUUGGGUUAAAGCCCAAUUGAUCUUGUUCUAGACGCAGCCGAAUUUAGCUCUGUAAUUAAUAAUCUACAAAUAUAUUUUUCUAGGUAAUCAUAAAUAAUUAAACACAAUUGUCUGUUUAUAUAUUUAUGUGUCCUGAAUUAUUCUCAAUAAAGGACUAUUAUUGGUCCGAAUUAACUUAGUCCGGAUGUUAUUGGUUCGAAUUAACUCAAUUUGAGAUAGGUUGUAAUCUACAAAUAUAUGAGUUCGACUACAAGCCUGGAGUUAAAGCCCAAUAACCUGAUUUUACUUCUACCUAUGGCCUGGGCCUCUGUGUCAUAAAUUUUAAUGGAUUGAAGUUAAAGCCCAAUAAAUGAUACUUGGUAAUAGUAUUAUAUAUAGUUCAAUAUAUUACUGUAUACGUAUGGUCCACAGAGUAGUUUAAACCCAAUAAGCUUGGUCCUGAGCCACAAAAUCUUAAUAGCUUUAGAUACUAUUAAUCAAUUAAUUGGUUAACUCUCUUCGAUCAAUAGUCAGUGCUCAUUAGAGUUAUGGCGUGGUUAAAAGAAUAAGAUCAAUAUCUAAUUAACUUUUGAAAGAGACUAAUGCAACAUGUAUACAAAAUGGUAAGACUCACAUUUUUAUUUAUUUAUUUGUAAAAAUUUCCCUUUAAAAUAUGAAUUUAAAGUCUUCCAUAAAUUAAAUUCUAAAUGUUUGACAUGAAAGCAAGUAGACAAAUAAAGUCAAUAAUUAGUAACUAGAAAUAAGAAGAUUAAACUUUUAGAAUGGAAAUGCCAUUGAGAAUUGUGAACAAUAAGAGACCCUUAUCUUGAAAUUGCUUUCUCAAGCUAGAUUUGAAAUUUUAUAGAUAUUCUUGGAUUUUGCUACCAAUAUAUUUUUUUCCUUUCGGUUAAAUAUCUUUAACAAUCAUUGAUUAUGUAAUUCUAUUAAUUCAAGAUUUUACAAUAGUUAACAUGCUGCUUGAAUAUAUUGAGUGGUAAUGGCUAAACAAAACAACAUGAAAUAUAUUGUGUGUGUGUGUAUUUCAUUUUCAUUUAACUCUUGAUUCAUUUCAAAUACAACAUCAUUUGUUUUCCUUUUUUUGGUUCCCCUUCCUAUUCCCAUUGCUAUAUAUAGGUAUGAGUCAAUUUUUAUCCAAUAAAUCAUUAUUAUCUCUUGUUUGCAUUUUCAUUAAUUCCUUAAUCCGUUUCAGCUGAAAAGAAGUUGGCAAUUUGUAGGUAUGAAUCAAAUUUUAUUCAAGAAAUUGUUAAAGAUAUAGGAAACAAAUUGAAUCGUAGAGUAUUGAGUGUUUGUUCAUACCCAGUUGGAUUAGAUACUCAUAUAAAAGACAUUAAUUUGUGGUUGCAAUAUGGAUCAAACGAAGUCGGGAUAGUGGCAAUCUCUGGGAUGCAUGGAAUAGGGAAGACAACCAUUGCAAAAACUGUGUAUAACCUGAACUUUGACAUAUUUGAAGGUAGUAGUUUUCUUGCAAAUGUAAGAGAAACAUCAAAAGAACCCCGUGGUCUUGUCCGCUUACAAAGACAACUUUUUUCAGAUAUUUUAAAAGGGAAAGAAGCAAAAAUUAGCAAUGUUGAUGAAGGAAUGAUAAAGAUAAGAGGAGCUAUUUGCUGCAAAAUUUUUUUACUUGUUCUUGAUGAUGUGGAAGACCGAGACCAAUUAAUGCAGUACUCACAAUGAGGGAUUGGUAUCAGCCAGGAAGUAAAAUUAUCAUAACAACUACAAAUGAACAAUCGUUGAAGGCAUAUGGAAUGCACAAGCGGCAUAGAGUUGAAGGUUUAACUCAUGAUGAAUCAUUUCAACUCUUUAGCUGGCAUGCCUUUGGACAAGACCACCCCAUUGAAGGAUAUAUGGAGCACACAAAAAGGGUUGUACAGUACUGCAGUGGGCAUCCUUUAGCUCUUCAAAUUUUGGGUUUUUCUCUAUCUGGGAGUAGCAUUGAUGUGUGGAAAAGUGCAAUAGAGAAAAUGGAAGCAAUUCCUAACAGUAAGAUCCUAAAAAAGCUCAGAUUAAGCUUUGAUUCUUUACUAGAUGAGCAUGACAAAAAUUUAUUCCUCGACAUUUCUUGUUUCUUUGUUAGAAAGGACAUAGAUUUCAUAAUUCCAAUACUAGAUGAAUGUGGUUUUUACACGAAAGUUGGGAUUUAGAAUCUUAUCAACAGAUGUCUCUUAACAAUCGAUGUAAAUAACAAGUUGACAAUGCAUCACUUGAUUCGAGAGAUGGGAAGGGAGAUUAUACUUCAAGAAUCACCCAAGGAGCCUGGGAAGCGCAGCAGAGUGUGGCAUAUUAAGAGAAAAAACUAUAAGAAACAUGCCUCUCAUGUCUUUAUUUUCAUUUUUUUUUAUUCUUUGUUUUUGCUAGCUGCUACUUAUCAACCUCUGUUAUCAGGGCACAGAAACAAUUGAAGGCCUUAUUCUAAAUUUGCAUGUGUCUGAGCAAGAUUGGCUUGCUAAGAAUUUCUUUGAUUUAGAUAAUUCAAAAAGACAUCAUUCUGAAGAUUUUUUUAACAAAUUAACAUUGCCUUGUGGAAGCAAUUCAUCAAAGUGCCAUCGUCUAGGACUCUUCUCAUGGCUCCCCACCAACUCUGCCUCGACAGAAUCAUUUUCCACAUCAGAUGAAGUAGACUUAAAAACUGAAGCAUUUUCAAGGAUGCACAAAUUAAGACUACUCCAGCUCAAUAAUGUAAUGCUAACCGGAGACUACAAAGAAUUUCCUAAAAAGUUAAGAUGGUUGUGUUGGCGUGGGUUCCCCUUAAAAUCAAUAUCUAGUGAGUUUCCUCUGGAGAGCCUGGUUGCUCUUGACCUGCAGAACAACACCUUAAAACAACUUUUGAAUGGAAACAAGAUUAUUGCAAUUCCUCAAUCUCAGUCAUUCCCAUGGCCUUACCAAUACACCCAAUUUCUCAAAAUUCCCUAAUCUUGUGAGAUCGAUUCUUAAAGAUUGCAUAAAUUUGAUCGAGGUUCACGAAUCCAUUGGGGAAUUAAAGAGACUUGUUCUGUUAAAUCUGAAAGGCUGCAAGAAUAUUAGGAAUCUUCCUACAAAAAUAGCUCAGCUUAAAUCUCUUGAGAAACUCAUCCUCUCUGGUUGCUCAAAUCUUGACAAGUUGCCGAGAGAGCUGUGCGAGAUGGAAUCUUUAAAGGUUCUUGACGCAAAGGGUGUUGCAAUAAAACAACUACAAUCGAGCAGCAGUGACAUGGAAUCAUGGCGUUCAGGCUUGUUCUCUUGGGUUCCGUGGCCAAGAAAAUCUCCAGAAUCGAUCAGUUGUUCACUGGUUUGCUUGCCACGCUCAUUAGUAAGCUUGAAUCUUGCAAACUGCAAUUUGUCAGAUGAUGCCAUUCCGAGGGAUCUUGGGAGCCUGUCCCUGUUGCAGAGCUUGAAUCUAGGGGGAAAUCCAAUCAGUAGCCUUCCAGAGAGCAUCAAGGGACUCGCCAUGCUCUGCUCACUUGAAUUAGAAGGGUGUGAAAGACUCUAAUUGCUUCCAGAGCUACCAAUGAGCUUAAAAUUCUUGCAGUUAAGCCAUUGUACGUCACUGGAAAUAAUGAUCAAUCUACCAAAACUAAAGAGACGACCGGACGUGGAAGCGUUGGGUUGUGACAAACUAUGCAGAAAUGAUCAAGAAUUUGGGAUUGGUUGAGUUGGAAUCCAUAGGAAAGGUUGACAUGAAAUUUUACAAUUACCUGACAGAUACGCACAAUAUUGGUCCCAUCCAGGCAGUGUAUGAAUGUGGAAUAGUGAGCAUAUUUCAUCCUGGAAAUGAGGUUCCAUGUUGGUUCAGCAAAAAGAGUAGAAAGUCCUCCAUAUGUUUCAAUGUUCCUUCACUUCCUAAUCUCAAGAUCCGAGGCUUGAAUGUAUGCGUUGUUUAUGCAAGGAUUACACACCGUUACCUUCCAACUGAACCUACUAUUAUAAAAUUUUAAGUAUUAUUAAAAUCUUCAAUAAGAGCAACGAUGUGAAGUGGGCCUAUAACCCGGUGUGUAAACGGAAUCCAGAUGAGGCGAAAAAUAUGAAAUGGUCAAGCCUUUAGAUUGGGAAUCAGUUGGAUGUUGGUGAUGAAGUGGUUGUUUCCGUGGUUUUGUGGGACUAUAAAGUACGUAAAGGAGUUAGGAGUCCACAUUGUGUAUGAAGAAGAGGAGAAGGAUGCACAACUUAAUACCUGUAGUUCUUGUCCUGGUGAAGUUAUUGAUGGUGUAGAUUUAUCAGCGUAUCGGGUUUGUAGAGGUGGAUACUACCUCUGCCAUUGUGAUCUUCGAACCCGUCGAAAGUCAACGACUAAUGAUGGUUCGAAUAACAUGGAUUUGUUUGCCUUGCUAAUUGGAGAGACGGUAUGAAAACACCUCUCGAAUAUUUAGAGUUGUAUAUAUAUGAUAAAGAUGGGUUACUGGUGAGCUCAAUAGUGAUUGUGCAGGUCUCUCUUUCUUGAGUGUGAAUCGGAUCACUUGUUUAAUAUAUUUUGUAUUUAUGCAAUUCAAAUUAUAUUUUGUAUUGAUACGAUUGCACACCCAUCUUUACUUUUGGGAAGGGUAAAUAUUUUUGCGAUUGUAUU